ensembl:lncRNA
AAGGGAGGAAAAGAGAGAGAGAGAAAGGAGAGCAGGAGGAAUCUGAUAGGCCACCUGGGAGUGGUGUAACAGAGAGUUGUGGCUUGGCAAGAGGAGGAGGAAGAGAGAGGGAGGAGAGAGAGGAAAGAGAAGAGAGAAAGAGAGAGUAGUAAAUAUAAAGUGUAAAUAAUGAAUUUAGGUGAAUUUAGGUCAGAUGGUGGACUGGAGGAGACUGGGAGAGGCAGGCUGGGAGAUGAUGGACUGGGAGAGACUGGGAGAGGCAGGCUGGGAGAUGAUGGACUGGAAGAGACUGGGAGAGGCAGGCUGGAAGAGACUGGGAGAGGCAGGCUAGGAGAUGAUGGACUGGGAGAGACUGGGAGAGGCAGGCUGGGAGAUGAUGGACUGGAAGAGACUGGGAGAGGCAGGCUGGGAGAUGAUGGACUGGAAGAGACUGGGAGAGGCAUGCUGGGAGAUGAUGGACUGGAAGAGACUGGGAGAGG